rnacentral:rRNA from 1 species
GACGAACGCUGGCGGCGUGCUUAACACAUGCAAGUCGAACGGUGAAGCGCCUUCCUUUUUGGUGGGUGUGGAUGAGUGGCGAACGGGUGAGUAACACGUGAGUAACCUGCCCCCUUCUUCUGGAUAACCGCAUGAAAGUGUGGCUAAUACGGGAUAUUCUGGGUCUGUCGCAUGAUGGGUCUGGGAAAGAUAUUGUUUCGGUGGGGGAUGGGCUCGCGGCCUAUCAGCUUGUUGGUGGGGUGAUGGCCUACCAAGGCGGUGACGGGUAGCCGGCCUGGGAGGGUGGACGGUCACACUGGGACUGAGACACGGCCAAGACUCCGACGGGAGGCAGCAGGGGGGAAUAUUGCACAAUGGGCGCAAGGCUGAUGCAGCGACGCCGCGGGAGGGAUGGAGGCCUUCGGGUUGUGAACCUCUUUCGCCAGUGAAGCAGGCCUGCCUCGUUUGUGGGUGGGUUGACGGUAGCUGGAGAAGAAGCGCCGGCUAACUACGUG